rnacentral:lncRNA from 1 species
GAAAGUAAACACUUAUGGAGAACAUUAUGGUUUAGAAGAAGGCAUUGCAAUGUAAUAGCGUAAUGAUUCCAGUUCCAGAUUCACAGUGAUUUAAUGAAAUAAGCAGCAUGCAUUGGUUCUAAACAUAUAUAGACAGAGGUGGAUUGAAUAUCAGAACAAGAGUAAAGGGUUGAACUGGCUGCUUCAGCCUGAAACAGCUCUCCUGGGUUGAUCCUGCUGAUUUUACUGUUGAUGGCAGAGAAAGACAAAACAAACACAAAGGCAAUGUGGCAACGAACACAGUCCUAACUGGCUUGAAUUCUUCGGCUUACUCCAGUCUUCAUUUAUCCCAACACUGGGAUACAAGGUUUCCGAGGCCACUUUUUUCUAUGAAAUUCUCCACGUUUUUUGACUUAAAGAAAAACUUUCAUCUUUCAGUAAAGAAUCCAUCCAAAUUUGAAGAAGAGGAUUAAAAAGUUCAGAUGUUAUUCCAAACGGAUGUUAAAAAAACAGCCAAACUAUCAGAAAUGAAGUAGGACGGCAAGCAAUUAUUUGAAGCAGCUGGGUUACAAGAAGGACUUCUCACAUGUUAUUACACGCAAAGGAAUUAUGGAUUAUGGAAAGAUGAGCAAUAUAAUUAUGCUCAUGGAGUGUCACAUUAAUUUUUAAGGCUGUGGGAUACGAUGUGAGCAAAAAUAGACAUGGCCCUUCCCCUCGUGGAGCCUAACAGCCUACUGCAGGAGAGAGACAUUAAUUAAAGAAUUACAUAACUGAAUAGAAUAUUACAAAUGCGGCAAGUGCAAUAAAGGAAAGAAAUCCAGACAAUCAGCUUGUCAUGAAAGACUGUUGGGAUUUCACUUGAGAUUGCACUGAAUUUAUAGAUUAAUUUGGAAAAAUUCGCAUUUUUUUACAACAUUGAGUCUUCCUAUCUAGCAACAUGAUAUAGAUCUCCAUUUAUUCAACACGAGGCAGAGAAAAUUAUCCUCAGAGAGAGAAGAAAGAAGCAAAUUCACAGAGCAGAGCAAAGGCCAGAAGUAAAGCCUCAGAGCUGGAGGAUGGAAGAUCCGUCCCCGCCAGCUUUCGGGUGCGCCUCAGUCCUCCUGUUCCUUUACUGCAACCGAUUUAAAUGAUGUUUUGUUCCUGCAACCGCAUAGUUCCUGGCUAAUCUCCAGAGCCAUGGAUUGUAAUUCUUUACCUUCCCUCUCCCACAAACCCAAACCUCUAAUCCAAGAAAAUAAAGAAAAACAAAAUAAC